CUGAUGGCGACCGGCGCACGGGUGCGUAACGCGUAUGCAACCUACCUUUAACAGGGGCAUAACACUGAGAAAUUGGUACUAAUUCCCCAUAACAUUCGAGAAGGCAUCUUCUUGGGUUAAAAACUCCGGUGGUUAAAGAUGGGCAUGCGUUGUAUUAGCUAGUUGGUGAGGUAACGGCUCACCAAGGCAACGAUACAUAGGGGGACUGAGAGGUUAACCCCCCACAUUGGUACUGAGACACGGACCAA
rnacentral:rRNA from 1 species